rnacentral:misc_RNA from 1 species
CCGAGUUUACAACUCCCAAACCAUGUGAACAUACCUACUGUUGCUUCGGCGGAUUGCCCCGGCGCCUCGUGUGCCCGGAUCAGGCGCCCGCCUAGGAAACUAACUCUUGUUUUAUUUUGGAAUCUUCUGAGUAGUUUUUACAAUAAAUAAA